rnacentral:misc_RNA from 1 species
UCAUCAAUCUACGAUAUGGUUUCUGAUCAUAAGAAGCUCGAACCUGCCACACCUCACAGUCAAGACCAAAUAAGCUGCAUGCAAAAGCCAGCGAACUUCCCCAUUGGCCAGCACCUGUUUCUGUCACAACAUUCUUGACGCCUUGUUGUGCAUUAUAAAAGACUUGCGGGACUGCAGUGUUAGGCUUGUGUGAUCCAGCUGGGCUUACACCUUCAUAUUUAUAAUAAAUUUUGGCUGGUGUAUCGAGAAGUUUCUCCAACCUCUUGGCCCUAAUUAAUGGAGUUGGGCGCCAAAGCCUGUAAAUGUCAAGAACUUCUUCUGGGAUAUCUAUGAAUUUUUCAACGGUUGCUUCCUGCUUAAUCAACUCAUCUGGAAAGAGAGGAGCUAAAUCCUCAGGUUUGACAGGUUCAAAAGUUUUAGGAUGCAGUGGGGGAGGAGGUUUCACGGGAAGAUCUGAAAUGAGAUUGUACCAUUGGCUAGGAAUUUCAAUUGCCUUCAAAUUGGCAUUUGAAGCAGCUUUGGCUCUUGCUUUAAAUCCAUUUGAAACCCUUAAACACAUUGGAUUUAUGUUCAUUGAAAAACAACCAAGACAUUGCACCUCAUCUCUGAUGCAUAUGCUUGAUGGGCUUGAAACGGGAAAUGGGUUCGCAGAGGAAGGGGAUAA